AUUGAACGCUGGCGGCAGGCCUAACACAUGCAAGUCGAGCGGAUGAAGGGAGCUUGCUCCUGGAUUCAGCGGCGGACGGGUGAGUAAUUCCUAGGAAUCUGCCUGGUAGUGGGGGAUAACGUCCGGAAACGGGCGCUAAUACCGCAUACGUCCUGAUGGAGAAAGUGGGGGAUCUUCGGACCUCACGCUCUCAGAUGAGCCUAGGUCGGAUUAGCUAGUUGGUGGGGUAAAGGCCUACCAAGGCGACGAUCCGUAACUGGUCUGAGAGGAUGACCAGUCACACUGGAACUGAGACACGGUCCAGACUCCUACGGGAGGCAGCAGUGGGGAAUAUUGGACAAUGGGCGAAAGCCUGAUCCAGCCAUGCCGCGUGUGUGAAGAAGGUCUUCGGAUUGUAAAGCACUUUAAGUUGGGAGGAAGGGCAGUAAGUUAAUACCUUGCUGUUUUGACGUUACCAACAGAAUAAGCACCGGCUAACUUCGUG
rnacentral:rRNA from 1 species